GAGCUAACUUCCGCAGCACAUACACUAAAAUUGGAACAAUACAGAGAAGAUUAGCAUGGCCCCGCGCAAAGAUGCCACAAAGGAGCUGGAAAGGUGGUCGAUAUUG